ACCUGGUUUAUCCUGCCAGUAGCAUAUGCUUGUCUCAAAGAUUAAGCCAUGCAUGUCUAAGUAUAAACACCUUUAUACUGUGAAACUGCGUACAGCUCAUUACAUCAGUUAUUAUUUCCUUGAAUGUCACUUACUACAUGGAUACCCGUAGUAAUUCUAGAGCUAAUACAUGCGUAGAGUCCCGACUUUUCGGAAGGGAUGUAUUUAUUAGAUUUCCAAGCCAGCCGGUGGGGGGGGCAACUCCUUCACUCUCAUGGUGAUUCAUAGUAACUUUAGCGAAUCGCUGGUUUCCAGCCGAUGGUUCAUUCAAGUUUCUGCCCUAUCAGCUUUGACGGUAAGGUAUUGGCUUACCGUGGCAGUGACGGGUAACGGGGGAUAAACGUUCGACUCCGGAGAGGGAGCCUGAGAAACGGCUACCACAUCCAAGGAAGGCAGCAGGCGCGCAAAUUACCCAAUCCUGACACAGGGAGGUAGUGACAAGAAAUACCGAUGCUGAGCGCGUAAGUGUUUGGCAAUCGGAAUGAGAGGCAAUUAAAUAGCGUUCUCGAAAGCAACUGGAGGGCAAGUCUGGUGCCAGCAGCCGCGGUAAUUCCAGCUCCAGGCGCGUAUUUUAAAAUUGUUGCAGUUAAAAAGCUCGUAGUUGGAUUUUUGUUGUGGUUGUUGGGGGGUUGUGGUGGUGCAUUUGUGCCUCCUCAUACCCUUCUACACACGACAUUCGUGGGUUGGCCGGCAGGGACUCCUCGGAGCACCCACCGGAACCACCUACCCACAUAAUACUUUGAGAAAAAGAAAGUGUUCCAAGCAGUCUUAACGACAUGAAUACAUUAGCAUGGAAUAUACACAACGGGCUUUUGUCCUUGUGGUUGGUUUUUGGACCGAGUCAUGAUUGAUAGGGACAGUUGGGGGUGCUCGUAUUCCGUGAGGACAGGUGAAAUUGAAUGAUCCACGGAAGACGAACUUUUGCGAAAGCAUUCACCAAGGAUGUCUUCUUUAAUCAAGAACGAAAGUUGGAGGAUCGAAGACGAUUAGAUACCGUCGUAGUUUCAACCAUAAACGAUGCCGACUCGAGGUUCGCCUUUGGUCUUUUGAGUGUAGUGGAGGCAACUCCACCACCUCAUUCCGACUGGGCGAGAAUCGUAAGAGAAAUCAAAGUCUUUGGGCUCCGGGGAGAGUAUGGUCGCAAGACUGACAUUUAAAGUAAAUGAGGGGAUCGUACCACCAGGAGUGGAGUGUGCGGUUCAAUUUGACCCAACCCGCGAAAACUUACCAGGUCCGGAUAUAGUGAGGAUAGACAGAUUUCAGCUCUUUCUUGAUUCUAUGGGUGGUGGUGCAUGGCCGUUGGCAGUUCGUGGAUUUGUGGUUUGUCUGGUUUAUUCCGAUAACGAACGAGACCUCAACCUUGACAUAUAUAACUAGUGUUUUAUAGUUUCGAUUAUACAAAUACUUCUUAGAGGGACAAUCGGUGUUGAAGCCGAGGGAAGUUUGAGGCAAUAACAGGUCCGUGAUGCCCUUAGAUGUUCUGGGCCACACGCGCGCUACACUGAUUCGUUCAUCAAGUUUUAUUGUGAUGGUAACAUUACAUUCCUGGUCUGAGAGGAUUGGGUACUCUUUGAACGCGGAUCGUGCUGGGGAUUGACCAUUGCAAUUAUUGGUCAUGAACGAGGAAUUCCUAGUAAACGCACUUCAUCAGAGUGCAUUGAUUACGUCCCUGUGAUUUGUACACACCGCCCGUCGCUGUUACCGAUUGAAUGGUUUAGUGAGCUGAGAGGAUUGGUUGUUCGGGCUUGCUCGGAUUGGCUGAGAAUUUUAUCAAACUUGACCCUUUAGAGGAAGCAAAAGUCGUAACAAGGUUUCCGUAGGUGAACCUGCGGAAGGAUC
rnacentral:rRNA from 1 species